GGAUUUGGGGCUGUCGCUUUUUCUUCUUCAACACGAUCUUCAUCUUUGCGUCCUUUGAGUUCGUUAAUCAGCCGCGAUCCAAAGAUUUAACAGUCUCUCACCUUCGCUUGCACCCUCACUCGUUCCAUUUGUAACCAUCUAGGGCUUCUUCUAAUUGUCGUCCCUGCUUCAGACCACACCACAGUGCAACAUCAACCGCGAAGGAACCAUCGCCCGACAUUUGAAUUAUUGCAUACUGCAGAUGUCGCAUUUCUUGGGUUAACAGCUGACUAUUAUCUAGCAAUGGAUCAAACUGCGGAUGAAACUCGUGCUGGUAGUGAGAAUCAGGCCAAGCAAGAUGGUGAAAUUGGCAGAAGCUCUUAACAUUGAACCUACAGUAAUGCCAGAAGAUGGCCACACAACCAGGGUUACUACUGUGGGGGAAUCAUCAUUACCAAAUUCUGAUGAAGACACCAAAUCAUUUUAUGAAAGCUUGCCUGACCUUAGAGCUUUGGUUCCAGCUGUGCUUCUGGGAGAAGCAGAACCCAAGGCUAAUGACCAUUCUCCAAAGUCACAAGAGCAACCAUCUGUAAGGAACUCAUUUCUAUUUUAUUUAGGCUCCAAAAGAGAAAGGAAAAGACAAAGAUGCAGAAAGAAAAAUAGAAAAUGAAAAGGAGAAACUUAAAGGACUAGAGGGGACAAACUUGAAUGGUAUGUUGCAGAGGCUUCCAGGAUGUGUGAACCGAGAUCUAAUUGAUCAAUUAACUUAACAGCUGACUAUUAUCUAGCAAUGGAUCAGACUGAGGAUGAAAGUCGUGCUGGUAGUGAGAAUCAGGCAAAGCAAGAUGGUGAAACAGCAUUUUUCAUCGACAUUAGAUUCCAGCAUAAAACGCAAUACAGCAGUUAUUAAGAAACUUAAGCAGAUUAAUGAAGAACAGAGAGACAGUUUGAUGGAUGAAUUGAGAAAUGUCAACAUGAGCAAAUUUGUUACUGAAGCAGUGACAGCCAUCAGUGAGGCAAAGCUACGGUCUUCUGAUAUUCAAGCUGUUGUUCAGAUUUGUUCGCUGCUUCAUCAAAGGUACAAGGAUUUCUCACCAAGUUUGAUUCAGUGCCUGCUGAAAAUCUUCUUUCCUGGAAAAUCUAGUGAUGAUUUGGAGGCAGACAAGAACUUAAGAGCGAUGAAGAAGCGUAGCACAUUAAAAGCUCCUCCUGGAGCUGUACUUUGUUAGAGUAAUAGACGAUUGUAGUAUUUUUGUUAAUAUCAUCAAGGAUCUUACCAGUAUGGAGCAUUUUAAGGACCGUGAGGCAACACAGAUGAAUCUGUCUCUUCUUGCCAUCUUUGCUCGACAAGCGAGAACCUUCCUAGAACUUCCACUGUCAGGACAACAAGUAGUUGAUGAGUAAUGCCAGAGGAUGGCCACACAACCAGGGUUACUACUGUGGGGGGAAUCAUCAUUACCAAAUUCUUGGAAAGAUUCUUCAGUUCUUGAAGCAAUCUGGGAUGAUGAAGACACCAAAGCAUUUUAUGAAAGCUUGCCUGUCCUUAGCUUUUCUUCCAGCUGUGCUUCUGGGAGAAGCAGAACCCAAGGCAAAUGACCAUUCUCCAAAGUCACAAGAGCAACCAUCUGUAAGGAACUCAUUUCUAUUUUAUUUAGGCUCCAGCAACUAUUUAUCAUUGAUGUCAUAUACUUGUAUCAUAAUAUUUCUUUGUGUGUACUACAUGGAGUGUACCUGCAAUACCAUUUUAAACAU